UACAGAGGUCCCGAGCGUUGUUCGGAUUCAUUGGGCGUAAAGGGUGCGUAGGCGGCGGGGAAAGUCUGAUGUGAAAUCCUGGGGCUCAACCCUGGAACUGCAUUGGAUACUUCCUUGCUAGAGUACUGGAGAGGAAACUGGAAUUUACGGUGUAGCAGUGAAAUGCGUAGAUAUCGAGAGGAACACCUGCGGCGAAGGCGGGUUGCUGGGCUGACACUGACGCUGAGGCGCGAAAGCCAGGGGAGCGAACGGG
rnacentral:rRNA from 1 species